rnacentral:rRNA from 1 species
CUCGUAGGUGGCCAACUAAGUCAUACGUGAAAUCCCUCGGCUUAACCGGGGAACUGCGUCUGAUACUGGAUGGCUUGAGGUUGGGAGAGGGAUGCGGAAUUCCAGGUGUAGCGGUGAAAUGCGUAGAUAUCUGGAGGAACACCGGUGACGAAGGCGGCAUCCUGGACCAAUUCUGACACUGAGGAGCGAAAGCCAGGGGAGCAAACG